AGAGUUGCUAGACGUAGUUAAUGUUGAAGAACUUGAAAACAAGUUGCCAAACCCAGUGGAAGGUUUAUUGAAGAUGUUAGUUUGGCCAAAUGCAGGAGCACUACUCUGUCCGAACUGUCCAAAGGUAGAACCAGUCUGUCCAAAGGUAGAACCAGUCUGUCCAAAUGCAGAACCAGUCUGUCCAAAUGUAGAGCCAGUCUGUCCGAUCGAGGGGUUUGAGCUGAACAGAUUAGAUGACUGAGUGUUCCCAAAUGCUGGAGUUGCCCCCUG
rnacentral:lncRNA from 1 species